AUGGUUUAUUGCAAUUUCUUAAUAUGGAAUGUUAGGGGCCUCAAUUCGCCAGUGAGAAGGACUGCUAUUCGGUCGCUCAUUAGGAUGCAUGCUAUCAGUAUGGUGUGUCUGCAAGAGACAAAAUUAUCCAGUGUUGAUUCUGUUCUGCUGUCUGAAAUCUGUGGUGGCAAUUUCUCUGAAUUUGCUUUCUCUCCGUCUGAAGGUGCUAGUGGAGGAUUGUUGGUCGCUUGGUCUGAUAAUAUUGUUGUCUCCUCAGUGCAGUGCUCUAGAUGCUUUAUAUCCCUAUAA
rnacentral:rRNA from 1 species